rnacentral:rRNA from 1 species
UUCCUACGGGUGGCUGCAGUAGGGAAUAUUGGGCAAUGGAUGCAAGUCUGACCCAGCCAUGCCGCGUGCCGGAUGAAGGCCCUCAGGGUUGUAAACGGCUUUUAUUCGGGAAGAAGAGCAGGGAUGCGUCCUUGUGUGACGGUACCGAAUGAAUAAGCACCGGCUAACUCCGUGCCAGCAGCCGCGGUAAUACGGAGGGUGCGAGCGUUGUCCGGAUUUAUUGGGUUUAAAGGGUGCGUAGGUGGCUUUAUAAGUCAGUGGUGAAAUACGGUUGCUCAACAAUCGAGGUGCCAUUGAUACUGUAGAGCUUGAAAUAAUUGGAGGCUGCCGGAAUGGAUGGUGUAGCGGUGAAAUGCAUAGAUAUCAUCCAGAACACCGAUUGCGAAGGCAGGUGGCUACGAUUUGUUUGACACUGAGGCACGAAAGCAUGGGGAGCAAACAGGAUUAGAUACCCGAGUAGUCCU